rnacentral:ncRNA from 1 species
UAAAAUAAGCGCCAGGUCCUUAUGGGAUGACGAGGAGUGAAGUUAUCGAAAUAUUCGGCGGAUGCUUCAAAGGUCUCACAGCCUCAGUAUUCUUUAAAAAAUAAGAGAAAUUUUAUAACAAAGAGGAUAC